rnacentral:rRNA from 1 species
CAGCAGUAGCCACGGUAAUACGAAGGGGGCUAGCGUUGUUCGGAGUUACUGGGCGUAAAGCGUACGUAGGCGGAUUGUUAAGUGAGGGGUGAAAUCCCAGGGCUUAACCUGGGAACUGCAUUUGUGACUGGCGAGCUAGUGUAUGGCAGAGGGGGGUAGAAUUCCACGUGUAGCAGUGAAAUGCGUAGAGAUGUGGAGGAAUACCGAUGGCGAAGGCAGCCCCCUGGGCCAAUACUGACGCUCAUGCACGAAAGCGUGGGGAGCAAACAGGAUUAGAUACCCCAGUAGUCCCUGUCUCUUAUAC